AUUGAACGCUAGCGGGAUGCCUUACACAUGCAAGUCGAGCGGGGUGGCGAACGGGUGAGUAAUGUAUCGGAACGUGCCCAGUAGCGGGGGAUAACUACGCGAAAGCGUAGCUAAUAACGCAUACUUUUGGAGCGGUCGAUAUCGGAUUAGCUAGGUGGUGGGGGAACGGCUCACCGAGGCGACGAACCGUCGCUGGUUUGAGAGGAGGACCAGCCACACUGGGACUGAGAAACGGCCCAGACUCCUACGGGAGGGAGCAGUGGGGAAGUUUGGACAAUGGGGGAAACCCUGAUCCAGCCAUGCCGCGUGUGCGAUGAAGGCCUUCGGGUUGUAAAGCACUUUUGGCAGGAAAGCGGUACCUGCAGAAGAAGCACCGGCUAACUACGUGCCAGCAGCCGCGGUAAUUC
rnacentral:rRNA from 1 species